rnacentral:SRP_RNA from 1 species
UAUGGGACUAGUCCGGGUGGCUUGGCGUCACCUGUAACCUGAAACAGCCAAUAUGCAGGGGACGAAGUUUGAGGACGGCUGUGGCAGUCCAACUGACGCGGCAUAUUCUGACGUUGAUACCUCGUCCUGUGAGGUCAGCGGCGGGGGCGGACAUAUCCGGAGGGAUAUGUUUCCCUCUUGUCGUGGGCACCGGUUCAGGCCCGGAAGGGAGCAGACCUACCGUGAACGCAUGGCGCCCACAGGGUUGCGGGGCGGAGAAGGGGUAUGUCAGAGAGGCUGGAUGUGCGCUUCCAACCGAAAACGUGUCCCAUC